rnacentral:misc_RNA from 1 species
CCCCCACUGCACCAGAUUUCUCUCUAUAUAUAUAUAUUUUUUUUAAAUAAAAAGAAAACCUGAAAACAUUAACUCCUAUGGAAAUAAAAUGUACAUAUAUCUAUCUGAAUCUCAAACUACCUGCUUCAGUCUGUAAUAACAAGUCAUUACCUUCUUUUCUUCCUAAAUGAAAGCUUUUCCUUGUAACUUGCACACCAAUGUUCAGCAACACUAAACAUCAUAACAACCAUAUGUCAAACAUCUUCCCUGUAUAUAGUUUCACCCAUGGUUACCUGCUUCACUUAAUGUUCAAUAAAAAGGUAACAGAAUCCUCACCCUGGCAACACCAACAAUGUAUAGUUGCUUUGGGUGCAGAUUACUUUUGUGUCAGGAGGAAAUUAGCAACAAUUAUUGCACCUGCAGUAUUAGUGAGCCCAUAUGGCAAUGUACACUUUAACUAUGAUGGUUGUCUCUCUGCAUCCCCAUUUGACAUAACCACUUUACAUGCUGCUUUUGAUGGCGGUCUAUUGAUCUUCUCAAGUAACCUACUGAAAACUAAUUUAACAGGUAUACAAGCAACUGUGGUUGGCCUAGAUGUCUCAGGUUUGAUAAGCCCAUCCAUUUGACUAGUACUGGUAUAAUGUAAGGGCUUACUGAAACUCUGUUGAACAGAAAUUGAGGAUAGGGUUCUUGUUUUUUGGUUAGAUGAUAAACUUGCUUUCUUCGGCAGCUUUCUUGGGAAUUUCCUAUCCAGUGAAGGCCGAGAAAUGUGGGGAAGUCCCUCAGUCACAAGGCAAGCUUGGCACAGAAACUCCCUAUACUUAACUUCCUAAAUGGCAACCUUGCUCCUUGAUCUAUAAAUGGAGGAUCCUCAGCAGCAUCCUCAGCACCCAACACAGAUGAUAAAUGCGGGCGUGGGACCCUGAAGUUGGUCCUUCGAGCAGUCCUCCAAGC